rnacentral:rRNA from 1 species
CCUACGGGGUGCAGCAGUAGGGAAUAUUGCUCAAUGGGGGAAACCCUGAAGCAGCAACGCCGCGUGGAGGAUGAAGGUUUUCGGAUUGUAAACUUCUUUUGUUAGAGAAGAUAAUGACGGUAUCUAACGAAUAAGCACCGGCUAUCUCUGUGCCAGCACCCGCGGUAAUAAGGAGGGUGCAAGCGUUACUCGGAAUUAUGGGGCGUAAAGAGCGCGUAGGAGGGAUAGCAAGUCAGAUGUGAAAUCCUUGGGCUUAACAAUAGGACUGUAUUGGAAACUGUUUGUAUUGAGUAUGGGAGAGGGAGGAGGAAUUCGUGGUGUAGAGGGGAAAU